rnacentral:tRNA from 1 species
GGGAGUAGCUCAGUGGUAAAGCGCAUGCUUAGCAUGCAUGAGGUCCUGCCUUCAUUAAAGGCAGUACUUCCA